GAUGAAGAACGUAGCGAAAUGCGAUAAGUAAUGCGAAUUGCAGAAUCCGUGAGUCAUCGAAUCUUUGAACGCACAUUGCGCCCGCCAGUAUUCUGGCGGGCAUGCCUGUUCGAGCGUCAUUUCAACCCUCAAGCACAGCUUGGUGUUGGGACUCGCGUUAAUUCGCGUUCCUCAAAUUGAUUGGCGGUCACGUCGAGCUUCCAUAGCGUAGUAGUAAAACCCUCGUUACUGGUAAUCGUCGCGGCCACGCCGUUAAACCCCAACUUCUGAAUGUUGACCUCGGAUCAGGUAGGAAUACCCGCUGAACUUAAGCAUAUCAAUAAGCGGAGGA
rnacentral:misc_RNA from 1 species